rnacentral:rRNA from 1 species
UACGUAGGCACCAAGCGUUGUCCGGAUUUAUUGGGCGUAAAGAGCUCGUAGGCGGUUCGGUUAGUCGGGUGUGAAAACUUUGGGCUCAACUCAAAGACUGCACCCGAUACUGCUGUGACUCGAGUCCGGUAGGGGAGUGGGGAAUUCCUGGUGUAGCGGUGGAAUGCGCAGGAUAUCAGGAGGAACACCGGUGGCGAAGGCGCCACUCUGGGCCGGUACUGACGCUGAGGAGCGAAAGCGUGGGGAGCGAACAGG